AUCCUGGCUCAGGAUGAACGCUAGGCGGGAGGCUUAACACAUGCAAGUCGAGGGUAUUUGUAGCAAUACAGAGAGACCGGCGCACGGGUGAGUAACGCGUAUGCAACCUGCCCUUUACUGGGGGAUAGCCCGUAGAAAUGCGGAUUAAUACCCCAUAGUUCUGUUAGAUCGCAUGGUUUGACAGAUAAAGUUUCGGUGGUAAAGGAUGGGCAUGCGUGACAUUAGCUAGUUGGUAGGGUAACGGCCUACCAAGGCUACGAUGUCUAGGGGUUCUGAGAGGAAGAUCCCCCACACUGGUACUGAGACACGGACCAGACUCCUACGGGAGGCAGCAGUGAGGAAUAUUGGUCAAUGGGGCGGAAGCCUGAACCAGCCAUGCCGCGUGCAGGAAGACGGCCCUACGGGUUGUAAACUGCUUUUCUGCGGGAAGAACGGCCUUUACGAGUAAAGGUGUGACGGUACCGCAGGAAUAAGCACCGGCUAACUACGUG
rnacentral:rRNA from 1 species